rnacentral:piRNA from 1 species
UCAACAUAAGAUUCAACAUAAUUAGGCG